rnacentral:lncRNA from 1 species
GGAAACCACAUAUCAUACUCUUAUGUAUUUUAUUUGUACCAUGAUUUCUCAAGGAGAACAAAGUCUAAUAAUUAUGUUGAUUUCCUCUUUCCGAUUUAACUAAAAACAAAGAUGCCUACAGAUGAGGGGGGAUAGGAGGGGUCUUGAUCCCGAAAUCCCGGACUUGAAAAAACGAAAUCCCGAGGUCCCGAAUUUAAAUAAAGCAAAUCCCGACAUCCCGAAAUCCGAAAAAAAGGAUUCCCGGAUCCCGAAAGGGUCAAUCCCGAAACCCCGAGCUUAAAAACACCCGAUCCCGGAGUCCCGAUAAAGGUCCUAUCCCCCCUCUACAGAUAGUUAAUAGUCCGCGUUAUUUACUAGGAAGUUUGUCACUGACAGUUGGUUGAGAACUAAACGUCAGAAGAUAAGAAAGCAAUUUCUCUCAUACAC